CAAAAUCUGAACAGAGACACAGUAAGACAGACCAAGAACAUUCUGGAAGGUCCUACAUUUCCCACAAUACUUAAGUCACAUGGUCCUGUCCUACAGGCUCCAAACCCCUGGGACCCUGAACAGGACUAAUGCACAGAGCUGCAA